rnacentral:rRNA from 1 species
UAGGGAAUCUUCGGCAAUGGGGGGAACCCUGACCGAGCAACGCCGCGUGAGUGAAGAAGGUUUUCGGAUCGUAAAGCUCUGUUGUUAAGGAAGAACGAGUGUGAGAAUGGAAAGUUCAUACUGUGACGGUACUUAACCAGAAAGGGACGGCUAACUACGUGCCAGCAGCCGCGGUAAUACGUAGGUCCCGAGCGUUGUCCGGAAUUAUUGGGCGUAAAGCGAGCGCAGGCGGUUAGAUAAGUCUGAAGUUAAAGGCAGUGGCUCAACCAUUGUAGGCUUUGGAAACUGUUGAACUUGAGUGCGGAAGGGGAGAGUGGAAUUCCAUGUGUAGCGGUGAAAUGCGUAGAUAUAUGGAGGAACACCGGUGGCGAAAGCGGCUCUCUGGUCUGUAACUGACGCUGAGGCUCGAAAGCGUGGGGAGCGAACAGG